GGUUCGUUCAGUUGUUUAGAGCAUGGCGCUGAUAACGCCAAGGUUGCAGGUUCGAUCCCCGUAUGGGAUG